rnacentral:rRNA from 1 species
UUGGAGGGCAAGUCUGGUGCCAGCAGCCGCGGUAAUUCCAGCUCCAAUAGCGUAUAUUAAAGUUGUUGCAGUUAAAAAGCUCGUAGUUGAAUUUCGGGAUCAAAUUGUCGGUCGUGCCUCGGUACGCACUGGUAUUAUUGGUUCCUACCUUCUGAAGAACCGCGAUGUCAUUAAUUUGGUGUCGUGGGGAAUCAGGACUGUUACUUUGAAAAAAUUAGAGUGUUUAAAGCAGGCUUACGCUUGAAUACAUUAGCAUGGAAUAAUGAAAUAGGACGUUUGAUUCUAUUUUGUUGGUUUCUAGGAUUGACGUAAUGAUUAAUAGGGAUAGUUGGGGGCAUUAGUAUUCAAUUGUCAGAGGUGAAAUUCUUGGAUUUAUUGAAGACUAACUACUGCGAAAGCAUUUGCCAAGGAUGUUUUCAUUAAUCAAGAACGAAAGUUAGGGGAUCGAAGACGAUCAGAUACCGUCGUAGUCUUAACCAUAAACUAUGCCGACUAGGGAUCGGAUGAUGUUAACUUUUUAAUGACUCAUUCGGCGCCUUAGGGGAAAC